AACGAACGCUGGCGGCAUGCCUAGCACAUGCAAGUCGAACGAGACCUUCGGGUCUAGUGGCGCACGGGUGCGUAACGCGUGGGAACCUGCCUUUGGGUUCGGAAUAACUCAGAGAAAUUUGAGCUAAUACCGGAUGAUGUCUUCGGCCCAAAGAUUUAUCGCCUUUAGAUGGGCCCGCGUUGGAUUAGCUAGUUGGUGGGGUAAAGGCCUACCAAGGCGACGAUCCAUAGCUGGUCUGAGAGGAUGAUCAGCCACACUGGGACUGAGACACGGCCCAGACUCCUACGGGAGGCAGCAGUGGGGAAUAUUGGACAAUGGGCGAAAGCCUGAUCCAGCAAUGCCGCGUGAGUGAUGAAGGCCUUAGGGUUGUAAAGCUCUUUUAACCGAGAUGAUAAUGACAGUAUCGGGAGAAUAAGCUCCGGCUAACUCCGUG
rnacentral:rRNA from 1 species